rnacentral:rRNA from 1 species
AGUGAACGCUGGCGGUAGGCCUAACACAUGCAAGUCGAACGGCAGCACAGUAAGAGCUUGCUCUUACGGGUGGCGAGUGGCGGACGGGUGAGGAAUACAUCGGAAUCUACUUUUUCGUGGGGGAUAACGUAGGGAAACUUACGCUAGUACCGCAUACGACCUACGGGUGAAAGCAGGGGAUCUUCGGACCUUGCGCGACUGAAUGAGCCGAUGUCGGAUUAGCUAGUUGGCGGGGUAAAGGCCCACCAAGGCGACGAUCCGUAGCUGGUCUGAGAGGAUGAUCAGCCACACUGGAACUGAGACACGGUCCAGACUCCUACGGGAGGCAGCAGUGGGGAAUAUUGGACAAUGGGCGCAAGCCUGAUCCAGCCAUACCGCGUGGGUGAAGAAGGCCUUCGGGUUGUAAAGCCCUUUUGUUGGGAAAGAAAAGCAGCAGGUUAAUACCCCGCUGUUCUGACGGUACCCAAAGAAUAAGCACCGGCUAACUUCGUG